rnacentral:rRNA from 1 species
UACGUAGGUGGCAAGCGUUGUUCGGAAUCACUGGGCUUAAAGGGCGCGUAGGCGGGCCGCAAAGUCUGUGGUGAAAUCCUCCAGCUUAACUGGAGAACUGCCAUGGAUACUCGCGGCCUCGAGGAUGGUAGGGGCGUGCGGAACAGUUGGUGGAGCGGUGAAAUGCGUUGAUAUCAACUGGAACUCCGGUGGCGAAGGCGGCACGCUGGACCAUGUCUGACGCUGAGGCGCGAAAGCCAGGGGAGCAAACGGG